rnacentral:rRNA from 1 species
GACGAACGCUGGCGGCGUGCUUAACACAUGCAAGUCGAACGGAAAGGCCCUGCUUUUGUGUGUUGCUCGAUUGGCGAACGGGUGAGUAACACGUGAGUAACCUGCCCUUGACUUUGGGAUAACUUCAGGGAACUGGGGCUAAUACCGGAUAGGAUCUCCUGCUGCAUGGUGGGGGUUGGAAAGUUUCGGCGUUUGGGGAUGGACUCGCGGCUUAUCAGCUUGUUUGUGGGGUAGUGGCUUACCAAGGAUUUGACGGGUAGCCGGCCUGAGAGGGUGACCGGCCACAUUGGGACUGAGAUACGGCCCAGACUCCUACGGGAGGCAGCAGUGGGGAAUAUUGCACAAUGGGCGGAAGCGUGAUGCAGCAACGCCGCGUGCGGGAUGCCGGCCUUCGGGUUGUAAACCGCUUUCGCAUGUGACGAAGCGUGAGUGACGGUAAUGGGUAAAGAAGCACCGGCUAACUACGUG